GACGAACGCUGGCGGCGUGCCUAAUACAUGCAAGUAGAACGCACAGUUUAUACCGUAGCUUGCUACACCAUAGACUGUGAGUUGCGAACGGGUGAGUAACGCGUAGGUAACCUGCCUGGUAGCGGGGGAUAACUAUUGGAAACGAUAGCUAAUACCGCAUAAUAUUGAUUAUUGCAUGAUAAUUAAUUGAAAGGUGCAAUUGCACCACUACCAGAUGGACCUGCGUUGUAUUAGCUAGUAGGGGAGGUAACGGCUCAACUAGGCGACGAUACAUAGCAGACCUGAAAGGGGGGGCGGCGAAACUGGGACGGGGACACGGCCCAGACUCCUACGGGAGGCAGCAGUAGGGAAUCUUCGGCAAUGGAAGAAAGUCUGACCGAGCAACGCCGCGUGAGUGCAUAAGGUUUUCGGAUCGUAAAGAUCUGUUGUAAGAGAAGAACGGGUGUUAGAGUGGAAAGUUCACACUGUGACGGUAUCUUACCAGAAAGCGACGGCUAACUACGUG
rnacentral:rRNA from 1 species